CCUACGGGUGGCUGCAGUCGAGAAUCAUUCACAAUGGGGGAAACCCUGAUGGUGCGACGCCGCGUGGUGGAAUGAAGGUCUUCGGAUUGUAACCCCCUGUCAUGUGGGCGCACAUUAAAGAGAUAGUACCACAAGAGAAAAAGACUGCUCACUCUGUGCCAGCAGCCGCGGUAAUACAGAGUUCUCAAGCUGUGUUCGGAGUCACUGGGCGUAAAGCUUGCGCAGGCGGGUUGUUAAGUCGGGUGUGAAAUGGGCGGGCGAAACCCGAGGACGGCAAAUGAUACUGCGAGACUAGAGUAAUGGAGGGGGAAGCGGAAUUCUAGGUGUAGCAGUGAAAUGCGUAGAUAUAGAGAGGAACACUAGUGGCGAAGGCGGGUUUCUGGACAUUAACUGACGCUGAGGCACGAAGGCCAGGGGAGCGAAAGGGAUUAGAUACCCGUGUAGUC
rnacentral:rRNA from 1 species